ACAUGUUACAACUCUUUUAGAAUUUGUCUAGCAGGUCUUCAGGUCUAUACCAAAAGGUUCCCCC
rfam:Erinaceus europaeus unplaced genomic scaffold scaffold01018, whole genome shotgun sequence